UGAACAAUAACUACUUCAAAUAACUGCCAACCGAAGGAUAUACCUAAAAGGCACACAAAGCUCACAAAUCCAAACAAUAGAACAAGACAACUAGACUAGCCAUCAUCAUAAUAAUCAGUUAAUGCUCCCAACAAUCAUGAGAACCAGAACAAAGAAAUUGAAUAAAAACUGUCUACCCUAGCAUAACAGCUACAUACUAAAGCAGCUAAGUUUCAGUCUAUAAACUGCAAACAAACUCAGGAGAAAUAUAGAGCUGAAUAUAUUAUUACAUUUGUUCAUAAAUCCAAGACGUUUAAACAAGUCUCGAGGAAAGCAAGAUGAAAAAAAACAGAAUAGCCUCAUUUGACAGUUUUGGAAAAGCAAGCAAAUGAAGACUAGGUAAUCCUCAGGCUCACCUCAGACUACAAUCAACAAUCAACACAAGAAUACUUAGCAGUCAGAUUACAAGCAUAUGAAAGGAGUUGGUCUUACCCAAAGGUUCCCAUCACCCG
rnacentral:misc_RNA from 1 species